AAAGACACCAUACUGAAUAGA
rnacentral:miRNA from 1 species